rfam:Parasutterella excrementihominis CAG:233 genomic scaffold, scf250
GGGGGCGACCUGGUUUCGACAGGGGCCAUGAGAUAUUUGGACGCGUGCCGAGGUGUGAGUUCCUCGCUAAACCGCUUACAAAAAUAUAAACGCCAACGAUGAGCGUUUCGCUCUCGCCGCUUAAUUUCCGGUGAGACGCUGCAACCGGUUCGCUUCUAGGCCGGGUCCCGCAAUGGACGGCAGCGACAUAUCAUAGGAGCUAGUUCCUGCAGGAGUUGUGACUGCGGGAGCGAAACUUAGCAACUGGCCGGCAACUGGCAUCGCUAGUUUGCAGGGUUGCCGGUAAGAACUAAGUGAAUUAGCUACGCACGUAGAGGCUGGUAUUGAUAGCUUCUGGACGCGAGUUCGAUUCUCGCCGCCUCCACCA